rnacentral:rRNA from 1 species
AGUGAACGCUGGCGGCGUGCCUAAUACAUGCAAGUCGAACGGAGAGGCGCACGGGUGAGUAAUGUAUAGCUAAUCUGCCCUACACUAGAGGACAACAGGUGGAAACGGCUGCUAAUACUCUCUAGGGUAGGAUGAGGCUAUAUUUUAUCAUCUAGUUGGUGUGGUAAUGGCGCACCAUGGCUAUGACGCUUAACUGGUCUGAGAGGAUGAUCAGUCACCCUGAAAGUGGGACGCGGUCCAGACUCCUACGGGAGGCAGCAGUAGGGAACAGUGCUCAAUGGGGUAAACCCUGAAGCAGCAACGCCGCUUGGAGGAUGACACUUUGCAGGGCGUAAACUCCUUUUGUUAGGGAAGCGGUACCUAACGAAUAAGCACCGGCUAACUCCGUGCCAGCAGCCGCGGUAAUAC